AUCCUUUUUUGGUUCAUAAGCAUGAUGAUUGGGUGUUCACACACCUGCAUGACAUGUGCUACCCUCAAACCUUGUUACCCAUGGGCACAUUGCCCGUCUGACA